UCUUAAAUAAUAAAAAUCCACAUUAACAUCUCCAGAAAUACCAAAGUUCAAAUACCAAAGUUCAAAUUUUGUGCAAAAGAAUUAUUGAAACUUCCAUUAUCAACAUUGAUCUCCAUAAAUUAUUCAUCAUCAUCAACCCUGUAAUACCUCCUCUAUCGUUUCUCGAUGCAUUUCAUUUAAGGAUUAGGUAUGUACAUACGUGUAAAUAUUUUGCAAUAACACAGAAAAUGUAUUAUCUUAAUUACAACGAGGCGUUGUGUAACACUUUCGACAUAACACAUUCACUCACCAUCUAAUUAUUUGCUCACGAGCCAAUGCCAUCGCACGGAUCACAUCCAGCCAGCCAAUGCCAUCGCACGCAUCCAUCCAACCAGCCAAUGCUCUGCAUUUUUCCACCCUUCUUCGUGCAAUGAUCGCGCAGAUGCCACAAUCAAGAUAACGCGCUGUUAUUUUUCUAGUUGUUUCGUGGGGAAAUGGCGACACGAGCCAGUGUUGUAACACGUGUGACGGAAAAAAGUGGAAAAAAAAUGUGCAAAAUUGAAAAAUUGAAAAAAGGAUUCUAAAUUGAAUUGAUUAUAAUUUUUGUUAUAUUUUAUUACAUUAAAUAUUGUGAUUGAAAAUGGAUUUUAAGGAGAAUCGUUUGGAAAUUUACCAAAUUUUAAUUGUGAUUGCCGUGAUAUUAAAGGAUUUCCAACUUUUGUAAGAAUUAAACGUUGUGGAAUGUUUUAUGAAUUAUUAUUAUAGGAUUUAAGGCUUCUAAGGAUUUUUAAUUUUUAAUAAAACAAUUGAUUGUUGUUGAAAGUGAAUAAAUUUUUCGGAUCGAAUUCAAUACUGUAUUAUCUCAAAUAUUAGAUCACAAAAUCAAAACCAACAAAAAAAAAAGAUGGUGAAUACUAUCGUUACACGUAUUGCAAUAUCGAAAAACCCUUGACAUUUGAAUACUGGGUCAGAGUUUCGAGAUAGGAAUAAGAAUAAUCUUUUGAAUAAAAUUGGUCCAUCGAAUCCUCGUUCCCCUUUAUCACGUUAUUUAACUCUGUUAACUUCAAUUAAUAAAUACAGAGAAAAAUUUCCUCAUUUCGUUUCUUUAUUGAAAUCGAAUAAGAGUGAGAGAUUGACUUCUUAAAUAUACAUAAUUCCAGUAUAAUUUAUUCAGGUUAAUGGAAUAAGUAUGAGCGAGAAAUCCGAAUAAAUAACAAGGACGGAGAUAAUAAGCGAUUGAAAAUUACCUUUUCGUUUACGCGACGAUAUCUGGAGAACUAGAAAUCGUAUUGGGAUAAAUGAAAAUGCGUUUUGAAGAGCAAGAUUUCCUGCUUAUAACAAUCUCUCGCUCAUUGAUGGGAAAUAACUAUCCUCGGAGUUAUAGUUGUUUAAACUUUUUCUAAUUUUAAUAGAGUUUAGUUGACUUCUAAAGAGAAAGCGAAUGAUCAAAAAUUACUUUUCUUUUUACAGGGUGAUAUCUUAAGAACUGGAAAUAAUAUCGAGAUAAAUGAAAAUACAUUUUGAAGGAUAAGAUUCUGCGCUUCUAAUGAUCUCUCAUUCGUUGAUCGAAAAUUAUUAUCUUCGGAAUUAGAGCAAUUUAAACUUCUUCAAAUUUUAAUGAAAUUCGACGUUGCUUUCGCAUUAUUCGAUUAAGGCAUGUACGUUGUGCUUUUUUUCUCGGAAUAGAUAUUAAAUUCGCUUCUUAUCGAAUAGGCUAAUGCCACGUAAAAAUGAGUUCGCGGUAUGAAACGACACGACAGAGUAAAUUAUCCGUUUCUUAUUGAAACGUAAUAGAGAUUCUAAGAAUAGAAGAGAACGUGGCAAAAGAGAGCGCGACCAAAGUUCGUGGUGAAAUUACAAAUCGGUCAAUGCGGUGCAAGGUUGCCGAGUUUUAUUUAUCUAUAUCGAUAAUGUCUAUGCUAUAGAUUCUAUUCAUAGAAUUCGAAGACACACGAUAUAUAAUUAACUCGUACGAGACAGGUUAUGAAUAAGCAUACGUGAAAGAAAAUAAUCACAUAUUAAAAAAUUAAACGUGCGAGUUCCUAUAUGUCGACUCGUGUCGCUUUUCGUUCUGUUACGCUUUUUGCUGUAGAUUAUAAAUGAAGUAUAUAUCUGUGUGUCAAAUAUUCAAUGACAGUUAGCAAUUGUCGAAUCAUUUAAGAUGGUUAAUUUUGAUUAAAUUAUAUACAUAUAUAUUUAUAUAUAGAAAGUAAAAUAUUUUAAUUCUAUAAGAAAUAACUCAAAUAUAAAAUAUUAUUAUUAUUAUUAUUAUUGUUGUUAUUGUUGUUGGCGAAUUGUCAUUCUGGAAUGAUCUCCACUUGAAUACUUGAUUUUAUUAAUUAAAAUUGUAACAUAUAAAAUUUUUCUAUUGGAAU